rnacentral:rRNA from 1 species
UUCUGAUUAGCUAGUUGGUGGUGUAAUGGACCACCAAGGCGAUGAUCAGUAGGGGAACUGAGAGGUUGAUCCCCCACACUGGCACUGAGAUACGGGCCAGACUCCUACGGGAGGCAGCAGUAGGGAAUAUUGGUCAAUGGAUGCAAGUCUGAACCAGCCAUGCCGCGUGCAGGAAGAAGGCCUUUGGGUUGUAAACUGCUUUUGCCGGGGGAUAAAAGCCCAUGCGUGGGAACUUGAAGGUACCCGGUGAAUAAGCCACGGCUAACUACGUGCCAGCAGCCGCGGUAAUACGUAGGUGGCAAGCGUUGUCCGGAUCUAUUGGGUUUAAAGGGUGCGUAGGCGGUUAUAUAAGUCAGUGCUGAAAUAUCCCGGCUUAACCGGGAGGGUGGCAUUGAUACUGUAUGACUUGAGUAAAGUUGAGGUUGGCGGAAUUGACGGUGUAGCGGUGAAAUGCUUAGAUAUCGUCAAGAACACCGAUAGUGAAGACAGCUAACUAA